AGGUUGGCAUCGGCGGAGCGGAGGGUGCGGGGGGGGAUGUAGGGGUGGAGAAGAUCUUGCAGGUAGGGGGGGGCCUGGUUGUGGAGUGCUUUGUGAGUGAGAAGGAGGAUUUUGUACUGAAUGCGAUGGGGGAUGGGGAGCCAGUGUAGGUUCUGGAGGACGGGGGUGAUGUGUUGGUGGGAGCGUGUAUGGGUGAGGAGGCGGGCGGCAGAGUUCUGGAUGAGCUGAAGUUUAUUGAGGAGAGUGGAGGUAGUGCCGUGGAGGAGACUGUUGCAGUAGUCUAGACGGGAUGAGAUGAAUGCAUGUAUAAGGGUUUCGGCUGCAGAGUAGGAGAGGGAGGGGCGGAGGCGGGCAAUGUUUUUGAGGUGGUAGUAGGCUGUUUUGGAGAUGUGCUUAACAUGUUGUGUGAAGGUGAGGUUGCUGUCAAAGAGAAUUCCAAGGUUGCGACAGUGGGGGAGUUUGGUACAAAGCUAAAGAAGUGUGAAAUUCAUCUACUCUUUGUGAGCUGUCAAGGAAUUAAAGAAGGGACAUAAUCUACUUUUCCCAGAUUCUAUACUUCCUUUCUAAUUCCACUUUGAUAUCUUUACAUGAUUUUACAGAUAAAAAAAGGUCUUGAAAUAUCAUUAAUUCAGCCUCUGUCUGAAACACUUCAUUUGCUUUGCCAGAAGCUCAAAUGAACCAGUGAAGAGAGUCUUUAACACUGACCCAGUCAUGUUCGUAAGCCUCAUGUUUCUUCGCAAGGGCUCAUUUUGAAGAGUUUACAUCUAUUUUUUAGUAUUAUGACAAAAUACAUUUACUUUGUGAUUUUAAAACUUUCCAUACAACUAGUGGGGACACCAAACUUUGUAACAUUACAGUUUUUGUUUUAAAUGUGGAAAAGCAUCAUACCACCCCUUUAACAUUACAUCUUUCAUCAUCAACUACUCCAAAGCAGUUCAAAUUUGCUCUACUUUGGCAGUGUAAUAUUCUCUGUGUACCAAAAAAGGGAAUUUGGUGCACAGGACUAGAGGGGGAAUCAACCUACCCACACCAAGUUGAUUAAUUUGGUGCAUGACAGUCAGAUGGGAUGUGCAACUCUAAUCCCAUAAACCUCUCAUCAAAUCCAGGGAAUGACUCUCCAUUGUCUGCUUGCUGUUGCUUCAGAGUGUGCACUGAAAAACUGUGUGGUAAUGGAACUCAGGCCCAGCCCUGGUAAACAAGCAACAAUUAAACUGUUCAGCUGAGCACCAAUACACAUUGUAGUUAAUAAGCAGCAAGUAGCACUUAUACUCUGGACUCCAACCUUCUUCUCUGUCUGAACUCUGUGUUGCCCCACAUCUUAACCGCAGUGUCAUUGUCCCUCUGAAGAGUAUUCUCCCAUGAGUCACAGGUUAAGAGUCAUCACCAUGGAUAUGUAGAGCAAUUAUUCUGAAGCUGGGGCCCUGCAGAGACUUUGGUCUUUAUGCAAAAAUAUCACCACCUCACUACCUAAAACCACAAUAAUGAACUGUCCUAAUUAACCAUAAUAAUAAACCACUGUGAACUGUUCUACCAGAGACAACAAAACCCUGGAUCUGCUGUAUGUCAACGUCAAAGAAGCCGACAGAGCCACUGCCUUACCACCACUGGGCAAGUCAGAUCAUAACUUGGUCUAUCUGCAAACCUGUUACAGACCUUGUGUGCUGAGGCAGCCUGUGACCAAAGUCAAAAUCAGAAGAUGGACACCUCAAGCUAGCGAAGCUCUAAGGGACUGUUUUAAAUCAACAGACUGGAAUGUGCUGCUGGAAACAGAUGUUGAUAGUAUGAAUAUUGACAAACAGGUUGACUGCUUUACAGAAUAUGUCAACUUCUGUAGAGACACAGUUAUACCCACAAAGACUGUUUGCUGUUUCCCCAACAACAAACCCCGAAUCACAAGUGACAUAAAAGCAAUCCUUAACAAGAAAAAGAAAGCUUUUAAAGAUGGUGACAAAAAACGACUCAAACAAGUGCAACAAGAGUUGAAGAGGAGACUGAAGAUGGUUGAGCUGGAGUACAAAAAGAAGAUAGAGAAGAAUCUACAACAUAGCAACAUCCGUGAAGUGUGGAGAGGAAUCAGUAACAUCUCUGGACACAGCAAUAAAAAGAAAAGACAGCCAGUGGUGGGUGAUCUGGAAAGAGCAGAUGAACUCAACCUGUUCUUUAACAGAUUUGACACUGCUGUCACACCCACUUCCACAACUUCUCCCCUUCCUCCUCCAUCUCAUUCCGAUGUCUCAACCAUUUCAACUACCUCCUUCCUAGACCGCCAGUCCUUGUCUGUCACCGAAACAGGGGUGAGGAUGGAGCUUGGAAGACUUUGUCCUGGGAAGGAAGCUGGUCCAGAUGGUGUGUGUCCAAGGCUGCUUAGAGACUGUGCUGCAGAACUGUGUCAACCUCUCCACAGGGUCUUCAACCUGAGUCUACAGCUGGGGUGGGUACCUGCUCUGUGGAAAACAUCCUGCAUUGUGCCAGUACCAAAAACAAAAUGUCCCGCUGAGCUCAAUGACUACAGACCAGUGUCACUUCACACAUCAUGAAAACCCUGGAGUGGCUGUUUUUACGCCUUCUGAUAAACUCAAUUUCCUGCAGUUUGCAUACAAAGAACACAUUGGAGUGGAAGAUGCUGUCCUCUAAAUGCUUCACUGUGCCCCGUCUCAUCUGGAGGAACAUGGGGUUUAUGCAAGGAUCAUGUUUUUCGACUUUUCAAGUGCAUUCAACUCCAUCCAACCCACCAUACUCAAAGACAAGCUCACAGAGAUGGGAGCGGAUCCUGCCUGUGUUUCCUGGAUCGCAGAUUACCUGACAGGAAGACCACCGUUUGUCAGGCUGGGGAACUGUGUUUCUCGGACAUUAAUGAGAAGUACAGGGGCUCCACAAGGGACAGUGCUGGCGCUAUUCCUGUUCACACUGUAUAUGUCAGACUUCAAAUACAGCACUGAGUCCUGCCACAUCCAGAAAUACUCAGAUGACACCGCUAUUGUGUAUCAGAAAUGGACAAGAAGCUGAAUACAGAAAUCUGAUAAAAGCCCUCAGUGACUGGAGUCACAAAAACUGCCUCCUCCUCAACACCUCAAAGACCAAGGAGAUGGUCAUAGACCUCCGUAGAUCCAAACCCCCUCUUCAGCCUGUGGAAUGCACAUCGAAGUGGUGACAUUAUAUAAAUACCUAGGUGUACAGUUGGAUAAUAAGUUGGACUGGUAUAAGAAUGUAGACUUCAUCCACAGAAAGGGUCAGAGCUGCCUCUUUUGCCUGAGAAGACUCCGAUCGAUAGACAUCUGGAGUAAGAUGCUGCAGAUGUUUUAUCAGUCUGUGGUGUCUGUAGUGUUCUGUUCUACGCUGCAGUCUGCUGGGGAGGAAGCAUCAAACACAAAGAUGCAAGACGUCUGAACAAACUGGUGAAAAAGGCUGGCUCUGUGGUAGGACUUAAGCUGGACUUAGUGGAGGAUGUGAUGGAGAGAUCGACAUCGAGGAAGGUAGAGACUAUUCUAAAGAACAUGGAUCACCCACUUCACAAAACCUUGAUGGACCAAAGGGGCAAGGGUGGUGGACGGCUCCUCUCUCUUCGCUGCAGGACAGAGAGAUUCAGAAGAUCUUGUGUGCCCACACCUAUCAGACUUUAUAAUUCUUGUGUAAAUAGUAGAUAACUUUUAGAGACAUAUCAAUUGAGACAACAGACCAUUGAAUUUCCCUUUGGGGAUUAAUAAAGUUCUUCUUAUUCUUAUUCUUAAUCUUAAUCCUAAGAACAUAACACUGUAGACACAGAUGCAUUAAUCUGCAUAUAAUUAAAGUCACUCUUUGAUUAUUUGAUGCAAGACUGAUACAAAAUCAGGUGAAGGUUAUUUCUACAGUUUAAAUAUAAUCUUAAUGAACUUUCCCAAAAGACAGUCCUUUCUGACUUCAAGCUCUUGUGAGGAGAGCUUGAAGCUCUUGCUGAUCCCGACUGUCCCAUCCUCAAACAUUGUCUUUGUCAUGAACUUCUCCUGCUGGCCUUUGACUUUUAAAUGUAAAACUAGAUGUGAAUAUUUGAUGUAAGAAUUGUAGAAAUAGGGGUGUUGCCUUGGUGACUUGGCUGACACAUUUUUUUGCACUUGCAUUUGACGAAAUACAAUAAUUAAAUAAUACUUAAGUAAAUAGAUAAAAUUUAAGAAAAACAAACAACAACGUAAAUAUCAGGGUUAAAAUAAAAAUUAAGUCAUGUGCAGAAUCCUCAUUCCAUACGCAUUCAAAUGGAAUAGACAUGUCUGUUUUAGCCAGUGUUUGGUUGUAAACAUGUAUUGGGUUAUGCUAUAGAUUGCUAAAUACAGUCAAUAUUGCUGUCAGAUAUCGGCUCUGUGAUGCCAAUAUGAUGCAGAUUAUGCAACAAUACCAAUCUGCCCUAAUUGGUGUAUGCCAAGUUAUAAGAUGAAUACUAUCAGAUAUGUUGUAACUAAAGUCAGGGGAGAAGAAGUUUAGUUCAUCAUGGGGUCAUCAGAUUUAUUUCCAACACCUACAGGAAAAACCCAACUCAGUGAGAAGUAGCAGCACCACCAGACUCUACAAAGAUGAGGAAAUAAUUACUGAUGGCAAAAAAAAAAAUGUGAUGCAGUUUCUUCCCAACUGUCAGGAAGGACUUGCACUUGGUUUCAGUGCUAGCCUGGACCAUUUAACGUAAUUAGAAGGAAAUAUCUUUAUUUAUUGGGGAAAAAACCCCACAAACAAUAGUAAUAUGAGAAUUCAAGAAAAUAGAAACCUAACACUAGACUCUUUCGUGUAGGAAUAAAAAGUUACAAAAGUAAAAGGAGGUUUUUAGUGCCAAAAUCUAGGAGUUAAAGUUAUACUUUGAGAUAGACAUUUUGGCAAAUAUCCAGAACCACUGACAUUUUCCUUGAAGCUCAUGUACAUGUCUAACUUGAUUUAACUUGAAGAUAUACCCAAAGCCUUUUUCAAAUUUAAUCAAUGUGACAUAGAUGGAGGGGAAAUCACAUUAAAACACAGGAUUAAUUUCAUAUUAGGCCUUGAGUUUUGUUUUUUUUAAAACCUUUUUUCUGUAGUUCAUAUCAGAAUUACACCCAAAGUGAGCAGCCAUCCAAUUUCUUUAAAAUAAUGAAAUAACAUAAUUAUGUCAGGUGUUAGGGUAAUCCAUAUCUACAGUACGUCAUGCACGUUCUGUGCUUAUGUCAACCCAUUUCUUCAUCCAGUCAGGCCCUGCUGUUCUGUGUUGAACUAUCCAUCUGAAAUGUGUGAGAAACACUUAUAUGUCAAGUUCAGCGGUGGGGAGAGAAUCUACCUGACAACAAAUUAAUGAAAAUGUCACUGACUUGCACCUCCAUUUCUUAUUUUCAAGAAUGCUCCACUGAGCACAUUAACAUAGAGGCUGAGACGCUUUCACUCGUCUCUUUAACCCCCCUGAUUCAGGAUUUUUUCAUUCCUAUUUCUCUCUCUUCUAAUUAUUGCAUGCAUGUCAGUGCUCCCUGUUUGAACCCUGCACACCUGUUUGAUUAAAAGGUAUAGCAGGGUCUGUGUAACACUUUGAAUGAUCUUUUACUCUAUCUUGACAUAGCAAAGCCAUGACCCUGUGAAGCCAGGGACGGCGGGUUAAUGGGAGCCUUGACAGCCAAGCCAUUCCAUCAGCAGUGGUAGUCUGCCGAAAAGGUCAACUUCCAGCCCAUACGGCCAACCAGACGGAAAUGUCAAUGUUGGAGAGGGGGAAGUAAGGGAGGACCUUUCUGUUGAAAAUGAGGUGAAUGUAUAUUUCAUAUCUGUGCUGAGUUAAAGUUGAAUUAUUCCAGUGAUAAUAGUUUUCAAAAUCACAUAUACAAACAAAAGUAUAAGCAUGGUGGUUCAGAGGAUAAGCCAUGGCCUUUUCUGUCUGGAGUUGGAACCACAAUGGAAAUGUCAUUCAACUCACUGUGCAUUUACCCUGAAGCUAUCAGAAUCAACAGUCACAGGGAGACCAUUCAUUUCCUCUUUUGUUUUUUUUAAGGCUAGCUCAGAGUGUGUGAACCCUCACACACAUUCAUAUCUCUUGACUGAUGUGACCACAUUUGAUUAAAAACUUUGUAAACAGAUUCUGUGGCCUUUAAACGUUGUGUUUGUUGAUUGUUUUUUCUAAUAAAUCUGUUAUUGUGAUUUGCAGAGCACCAAAUAAGUCAAAUGGACAUUUAUAAAAAGCAAAAAAUUCACCUUUUUUUAGAAAGAUUUGUGGUGAAUCCAGAAACAAUGUUCGAGCUGGUCACUAAUCAGUUACAUAUUUCUACUUCCCAAUGUUUGCUUGAUUGCUUUUAUUUGGUUGAUAAAAUAGUUUCCAUAAUUCUGCAGUAAUAUCAUUACAGUAAUAUUUUAUGGCCCCAAUAAUUGUGAGGUGAAAAUCUGAAAUCACAAUGGUGAUUGUUCAUAUUGUAUCAACUGGGGAGCCUGACUGGUCCAAACCUGCUGAAACAGAACUGAGACAGAAGCUCUGCAGGCAUCGUCUUUACCACAUGGUUUGGUUUUUUGAACUUUUUCCCCGCCAUUGACAAGAUAUCCCGUCAAUGCUUGCUUUCACUGCAAUUUGACAGGUGGUGCUGUGGUUUACCUUGUGGAGCAGAAAAGCAAUCCUGACUUGAUCAACAAGACAAGAAGCUCCAUGAAGAAUGGAAAAAAGACAGGUGCAGUUAGAGAUGAGAGGGGUGAAGUACUUCUAAAUCAGCAAAAAAUCCGACUCAGACCAUACGUUGUCAUGGGGACUGCACCAGAGCCUAUUAAUAGCUGUAUUAAUAUUCAUAUGGAACAAAGCAGAGGGCUCCACUGAUACUUAUUUAUUAAUGUAACAACUUCAACUGAGCUGUCAUCAUCCUUUGUCUGAACAGGAUGGGAUGCAGCACAGAUAAAUAGAUAUUAAAAUCAUAUGUCACAUGUCAGUGCUAUCAUAUUAGUAUCCUAUUGAUGUUCUGCUUAGAAAUGGCAAAAAUACUUAUUUCUUUGAAAAAAAUGUGAUUUUCUCAGCUUUUCAGUGUUGUUUCGUUCCAGACGAUUUGUUCAUCAGAACCAAAUCUUUUAAGUGAACGUACUGAAACGAAUCACUCCCUCAAUUGAUUCGUUCAUUUCCCACUUCAGUUGAGCAGCGCAGCUGUUAUAGCGCACCUGAAUCACUUGGUAAACAAAUAACACAUUGAACUACACUCUCUGGAAUCAUUUUUGUUGGACAAAAAUAACUUUUUUUUUUUUUUUUUUUUUUACUGCUAAAUUGCCACUACAACAACUUACAUACAAUAGGACACAGCAUGUAACAAGUAGUGCAUAAAACCCACAGCAUCCUAUCAUUGCAGCAGUUUGCAAGGAAACGGUGCAUGUUCAGUGUGAAUUCUUCUAAAUGUUAAGUGAACGAAUCACUCACUGAGCCCAAUUUACUGAGCAGACAUGAUAAAUAGCAUACCAUAGUACAGUACACUUAAAACAUCAUGACUUAUAAACAAGUCCAUUUUUACGAAUCUAUUUGUCAAAGCAA
rnacentral:lncRNA from 1 species